ACUGCUCAGUAACACGUGGACAACCUACCCUUUGGACGGGGAUAAACCCGGGAAACUGGGUAUAAUACCCGAUAGUCCUCGAAGGCUGGAAUGCGUCGAGGACGAAAGCUCCGGCGCCGAAGGAUGGGUCUGCGGCCUAUCAGGUAGUAGUGGGUGUAGCGUACCUACUAGCCUACGACGGGUACGGGUUGUGAGAGCAAGAGCCCGGAGAUGGAUUCUGAGACACGAAUCCAGGCCCUACGGGGUGCAGCAGGCGCGAAAACUUUACAAUGCUGGCAACAGCGAUAAGGGAACCUCGAGUGCCAGGUUACAAAUCUGGCUGUCGAGAUGCCUAAAAAGCAUUUCAUAGCAAGGGCCGGGCAAGACCGGUGCCAGCCGCCGCGGUAACACCGGCGGCUCGAGUGGUAACCGUUAUUAUUGGGUCUAAAGGGUCUGUAGCCGGCCGGAUAAGUCUCUUGGGAAAUCUGGCAGCUCAACUGUCAGGCUUUCAGGAGAUACUGUCUGGCUCGAGGCCGGGAGAGGUGAGAGGUACUUCAGGGGUAGGGGUGAAAUCUUGUAAUCCUUGAAGGACCACCAGUGGCGAAGGCGUCUCACCAGAACGGACCUGACGGCAAGGGACGAAAGCUAGGGGCACGAACCGGAUUAGAUACCCGGGUAGUCCUAGCCGUAAACGAUACUCGCUAGGUGUCGGCCACGGUGCGACCGUGGUCGGUGCCGUAGGGAAGCCGUGAAGCGAGCCACCUGGGAAGUACGGCCGCAAGGCUGAAACUUAAAGGAAUUGGCGGGGGAGCAC
rnacentral:rRNA from 1 species